rfam:Camelus ferus unplaced genomic scaffold scaffold678, whole genome shotgun sequence.
GAGGAUGUAGCUCAGUGGUAGAAUACAUGCCUUGCAUGCCUGAGGUCCUGGGUUCAAUCCCCAGUGCCUCCA